rnacentral:rRNA from 1 species
AUUGAACGCUGGCGGCAGGCUUAACACAUGCAAGUCGAGCGGAGCGGCGGACGGGUGAGUAAUGCCUAGGUAUCUGCCUGGUAGUGGUGGAUAACGUCCGGCAACGGGCGCUAAUACCGUAUCCUAUGAGAUGAGCAUAGGGCGGAUUAGCUAGUUGGUGGGGUAAAGGCCUACCAAGGCGACGAUCCGUAACUGGUCUGCGGGGAUGGUCAGUCACACUGGAACUGGGACACGGUCCAGACCCCAACGUGAGGCGGCAGUGGGUAAUGGUGGACAAUGGGCGAAGGCCUGAACCAGCAAUGAGGCGUGUGUGAAGAAGGUUUUCGGAUUGUAAGGCACUUUAAGUUGGCGGUCGUUACCUACAGAAUAAGCACCGGCUAACUUCGUGACAGCAGCCGCGGUAAUUC